CCUACGGGCGGCUGCAGUGAGGAAUAUUGGUCAAUGGACGAGAGUCUGAACCAGCCAAGUAGCGUGAAGGAUGACUGCCCUAUGGGUUGUAAACUUCUUUUAUAUGGGAAUAAAAUGUUCCACGUGUGGGAUUUUGUAUGUACCAUAUGAAUAAGGAUCGGCUAACUCCUUGCCAGCAGCCGCGGUAAUACGGAGGAUCCGAGCGUUAUCCGGAUUUAUUGGGUUUAAAGGGAGCGUAGGUGGAUUGUUAAGUCAGUUGUGAAAGUUUGCGGCUCAACCGUAAAAUUGCAGUUGAAACUGGCAGUCUUGAGUACAGUAGAGGUGGGCGGAAUUCGUGGUGUAGCGGUGAAAUGCUUAGAUAUCACGAAGAACUCCGAUUGCGAAGGCAGUUCACUGGACUGCAACUGACACUGAGGCUCGAAAGUGUGGGUAUCAAACAGGAUUAGAUACCCUUGUAGUC
rnacentral:rRNA from 1 species